UUCCACGAGCAGCGUACCAUGCCUGUGUGUUCUGUGCAUGCAGAGAUCACUGGUUCCAAAAACGGUAUACCACGACAUUGUAUUCUAACAUCUGGCGAAAGUUUGUAAUUUCGAUGUAUGAAUUCCUCACAUCGAGUGGAGGUGGAGGAGAAUCUGGACGAGGAAUAGCUGACGAGAGUGACAUAGUAUUACAGAGAUGACAUCUCACCAGGACAGCACCCCCCCACCCCCAUCCAGCCCCAUUAUUGGCUCAAGUUGAGGAGGGCAUGGAUGCUAUGAACCUCCACUGGAGCCAUUCAGGAGUCCUGUGUUCUGUUGCACUAUGGUUCUGUUGGAAGCACGAACAAUAUUGUAUCUUUAUUCUGCAUCAAUCUGUGGAUUUCUUAAAGUUUCAUAUGCCAUGUUUAAACGGUAUCCCUUGUUGCCCAGCAACCAUCUUUAAAUCACCCAAAACUUUGCAAAGAGGCACAAACCUGUGAUUACUCCACCAUGUAUGAUUCAUGGCAGGAUAGCUAGCGCAGAGCUCGAAAUGUGGCUUUCAUGAUCAUAACUUAAGAAAUUGGCACCAUUUCCUGGUUAUUGCGAUUUCAUUUUUGAGGUGAAAUAAUGGCUUGGACUUUCUGAUGGCCUGGCAUUGAUUAUUCUGGUGUAAAUGUGAGUUGAGCAUGGGGACCGUGCAGCAUCUCUAGUAUGUCAAACUCCAAAGGAAUUGCCCACAAAACUGAAGAAUCUGCUAAGCUGAUACCAUGCAAACAUUUUCUACCCCUGGCUAUAAAUCCCUAACACUGCACUUUGCUGAGGGUCAAGGUGUAAUACUGCAAGGCCUAACCAAGCAUCCACAAAAGAGAAGGUUUAUUAAAUGUACUAACUAUUGAAAUCACAUUGUUUGAGAACCAAAUGUUUAAUAUCACAUUGUUUGCAAAAUUUUACAUUAAACAUAAACAAUUUACAUCACUUUGUGUGCUGAACAAAUUGUUUUUCCAGCCAUCGCUACAUGUGCCAUUAAUAUUCUCCUCCUC